rnacentral:lncRNA from 1 species
UUCCCCUUAUUUCAUCUCUUCUUCCUCACUUUUCACUCUCCCUCUCUCCCUUAAGACGUCGUCGUUUGCCGCCCUGCUCCGCCGCCGGAAAUCGCCCACCGGCGGCAGGUAUCGUCCAAACCAUCCCAAAAUUUCACCACUCCUUCCUCUCCUCACCCACUUUCUAGACCCACAACCCGAAUCUCCCAAAUCUCUACCAAAUAUUGAUAAAAUCAAACCCUAGUCGCGCCGCCACCACUGUCGCCGUCAGUUGUCAUCCAAACUACCCCAAACUUUCACCAUUUCUUCUUCUCAACCUUCUCUCCACGAAUCCAGACCCUGUUUCCUUCAAACCCCUCCCAAAAUCUACACCACCGCCGAAAACCACCCUCCCCGCGGACCCGCCACCACUGCUGCACCACUUCUCCUCAGUUUUAGCCUAAUUUUGACCCAAGAACACUGAUUUUCUUUUAGUAUGACAUCGAGUUCAUUGAGCUUAGUGCCUACCAAAAUGAAACAAGCAUUCUACGAUCGGAGAGCAGCUACCCGAGGUCCCCGACAUCUGUCUCGUCGCUCGAUUUGGCAUCGAAUCCCUUCGUAUGGUAAAACAUCAAUUUUCUUUUCCUAUUUUACUUUUUCUGGUUUUUGCUUAUGUGAUUAGGUUUUGUUUUGAUUUUAUGUUUCUUAUCGAUGUUAAUCCAUUGCUUGUUCUGAUCAUUGUCGAUUCGUUGGAUUGUAUUUAUUUUGUGUAAUCGCUUAAUUAUCCAUUUGAUUUAGCCAUGAAUCCCUUCUAUGAUCGCAUUGAGUUAGCUCAUUAAUAUGAUUAGGUUCUGUUUAGUUAAGUGUCAUUAUUUUCCGUUUAGUUAAGUGUUUGGUUUAGUCAUAGUUGUUUUAAUGAAUUAAUUAGUUUGUAUGUGAUAUGUUAAACUGCUUACUUUUAAAUAAUUGGUUUGGAUAUUACAUCUGUUUAGUUUAAUUUUUAGUUAUUAGGAUCUGAUUUCUCUUGAUUGAUUAAUAUUUUAGUUAAGGUUUAGUUACAUUUUUUUAAGUAUUUAGUUGAGUUCUAGUUACUUCCUUAUUUUUUUGGUUUGUUAGAAAUAGGAUGGUAUUGAUGCUGAUAAAAGCUGAAGUUUAGUUAAAUCAAUCAUGAAAUAGGGUACUUGUAGCCUACCUUUUUACUAGUAUUAGUAGGGUUGCUGAAAUGACUCUUUUCCUCCUUGCUCCUGCUACAUCAGGUUUUCAGGCUGUCUUUUCAUCUCUUUGGACUGCCUUUGGGCCGUGUUUUGGCUCACAAAGUUAGUCUUUUGGACAGACUUUUGGUGGACCAAAAUCUGUCCAAAAAGUACCUUUAUUUUUCUACUUAAGAGGUUGCUCUCCCCACACUUGAUAGACAUACUCUAUCACACUUACAUACAUCUUUAGAGUUGCUUGAAUACACAAAAACUUGGGAAAAAUCAGCAGCUGAGCAGAUAAAGAGUAAGCUGAAAAUCAUGAGUUUUUGGUUGAGUCUUAGAGUGCAAAAUCUUUCAAAAAUAUAUAAGAGUCUUAAAGUUUGAUUCUGAGUUUCUUCUCUUGAAGAAUCAUUAGUUUUAGUGAGAUUUCUAGGCUGUUUUAACAAUAAUUCACUGUUGUUUUGUCGUUAUUUUCGCUAUCUUUGUUGCUGAGUUUCUGUUCUUUCACUGCUGAAUUUUAUUUUGUUACAAAUUAGGUAACUCUUAAACCUUUAUAUUACAGAUUCUUGAUGACAAUGAAAAAAAUUUGAACCCGUUUGAUUGGUGGAACAUGUAAUAUAUGUUUUUGUUCCAAGAUAAUUGUUACAUCAAUGUUAUAGCAUGUAAAUUUGUAGUAUUUAUCUAUAACUUUCACUUUUGUUUACAAAACAA